CAGCAAGUUUCCAAGGGCUUUGGCUGAGUUAUGGUCAUGGGAUCCCCAACUGUAUCACAGAAUGAAAUGGAGACAUUCUGACAGCUCAGGUCAGCACAGUACCUGUGGCUGUUAGUAUCUUUCUUAGAAGG
ensembl:snoRNA Snora44 small nucleolar RNA, H/ACA box 44